rnacentral:lncRNA from 1 species
ACAGCCCAAGCGGCUCGAGGCGGUGACCACCCUGCAGACCCAGGACCCGCAGCGCCGGCAACAGCUGAACAGAGCGGGCUCUCCCGGACCGCCCAGACUCGGGGUGAGCGGGAAGCUGAGCGCAGCGCCCUCUAGCGGGGACGAGGCACAGCGCCGCCGAUGAGGUCACCGCCGCGAGGCCUGCCGGGAGCCUGAGCUGCGGGGUCAGCGCGGAGCGGGGCUUGGACGCCUGUGUGACCCGCGUCGUCGCGGAGGACUCCGCGGACUCCCAGGCCGGGCCGGGCUCGAGGUCCCCGGGCGCUGUCCGACUCCGCCCGCCCCCCGCGGCUCUGGACUCCAGCCGCGCCGCCGCAGGGAUCGCCGGAGUGGGCCUCAUGCUCGCCGGGACGUGGUGUACCCAGGAGGCCGCUUUAUGUGGGCCCUUUGCAUUUUUUUUCCCUUUGCAUAUUUUUGCUAUGUGCCCAGAUCAGAGGUGAAGAGUACCAAGCAGAUACUCUGACUGUACCAACCAGAGAAAUAGUUAUUUCUAGAAAAUCAGUUUCCCCCGGGGUGGUGGCACACACCUGUAAUCCCAGCCCUCGGGAGGCCGAGGCAGGAGGAUCGCUGCAAGUUCGAGGCCAGCCUGGCUCACAAAGUGAGUUCAAGGCCAGUGUGAACUACAUAGUGAGACCUGUCUCAGAAAAGAGAAGAUUCUGGAGAACCUUAGAUACAAACCUAAAAUAAGACUUGUUCUGUAAUCAUUAUGGAAGACAAUAAAAGACUGUAGGGCUGGGGAUUUAACUCAGCGGCAAAAGCGCCUGCCUGGCAAGCGCAAGGUCGUGAGUUCGGUUCCCGGUACCGGAGAAAAACCAAAAAAAAAAAAAAAGACUGUAAGCUGUGUAAAAAAAGAAAAGAAAAAAGAAAAGAGAAGACGGGAGGGGGAGAAGGGGCAGGCAGGGAAGGUCACCCCUAUAAGUAUGGGCAAGACAAAGGUGCUCACCGCUGAGCUUCCUCUGCCAUACCGCUCCCUUGCUGUGCGCUCUCCCCUACCUUUGCAAUAUAAUACAAUAAAACUUGUGCUUUACUUUAUCUGUGUUUCUCGUUUUUUUUCUUUUGUGGUACUGGGGAUCGAAUUUAGGACGUUGUGCUUGCUAAGCAGGCGCUUGUGCCACUGAGCUAUAUCCCCAGCCCUGUGUUUCUCAUUAAGCGCUGGAGAGACUUUUCGAAUCUGAGUCAGUCUCACUUCAUCCCUUGCAAUCCUGCCAGGGCGAAGUGUUAAGCAGGGCAGUGGAAGGUGUCUUCCCGGGCGGACCCCAGCCCUCCACCUGACGCAGCACCGCCCACUGCAGCCCGUUGCCUGCCCUGCAGCUGGAGGAGGUGUUUCUGUAAAGAUUCUGUGGCUCCG